GGCCUCUGCCCAGGGAAAGAUUCCCUCAGGAAAACUGCCAGAGCUGCUGGUUGUCCUUGUUCUCCCAAACACCCUCUGCUUCGGCAGAUCCUCCUCAGCCAUAACCUAAGCUGUGCUGCUGGAGCCCUUGCUGCUUGAGCUUCCUCCUGUGACUUCUGAGUUCUGCAAAAGGGGAGGAAAAAAAAAAAAAAAAGAAAA